CAGUAGCCGCGGUAAUACGAAGGGUGCAAGCGUUACUCGGAAUUACUGGGCAUAAAGCGUGCGUAGGCGGUGAGUUAAGUCUGCUGUGAAAUCCCCGGGCUCAACCUGGGAAUGGCAGUGGAUACUGGCUCGCUAGAGUGUGUCAGAGGAUGGUGGAAUUCCCGGUGUAGCGGUGAAAUGCGUAGAUAUGCGGAGGAACACCGAUGGCGAAGGCAGCCCCCUGGGCCAAUACUGACGCUCAUGCACGAAAGCGUGGGGAGCAAACAGGAUUAGAUACCCCGGUAGUCCCUGUCUCUUAUAC
rnacentral:rRNA from 1 species